rnacentral:tRNA from 1 species
GCCUGGGUGGCUUAGUUGGUUAAGUGUCUGACUUCAGCUUAGGUCAUGAUACCAUGGCUCAUGAGUUCAAGUCCCGUGUCGGGCU